rnacentral:rRNA from 1 species
GAAAGAGCUUGCUCUUUUCAGAAUUGAGUGGCAAACGGGUGAGUAACACGUAAACAACCUGCCUUCAGGAUGGGGACAACAGACGGAAACGACUGCUAAUACCGAAUAAGUUCCAAGGGCCGCAUGGCCCAUGGAAGAAAAGGUGGCCUCUACCUGUAAGCUAUCGCCUGAAGAGGGGUUUGCGUCUGAUUAGCUGGUUGGAGGGGUAACGGCCCACCAAGGCGACGAUCAGUAGCCGGUCUGAGAGGAUGAACGGCCACACUGGAACUGAGACACGGUCCAGACUCCUACGGGAGGCAGCAGUGGGGAAUCUUCCGCAAUGGGCGAAAGCCUGACGGAGCAACGCCGCGUGAGUGAUGACGGCCUUCGGGUUGUAAAACUCUGUGAUCCGGGACGAAAAGGCAGAGUGCGAAGAACAAACUGCAUUGACGGUACCGGAAAAGCAAGCCACGGCUAACUACGUGCCAGCAGCCGCGGUAAUACGUAGGUGGCAAGCGUUGUCCGGAAUUAUUGGGCGUAAAGCGCGCGCAGGCGGCUUCCCAAGUCCCUCUUAAAAGUGCGGGGCUUAACCCCGUGAUGGGAAGGAAACUGGGGAGCUGGAGUAUCGGAGAGGAAAGUGGAAUUCCUAGUGUAGCGGUGAAAUGCGUAGAGAUUAGGAAGAACACCGGUGGCGAAGGCGACUUUCUGGACGAAAACUGACGCUGAGGCGCGAAAGCGUGGGGAGCAAACAGGAUUAGAUANCCUGGUAGUCCACGCCGUAAACGAUGGAUACUAGGUGUAGGAGGUAUCGACCCCUCCUGUGCCGGAGUUAAC